GGGGAUAUCCAUGUAGCGUAUAUUUACACUCCAUUUGCUCAGCUUGUUGCAUUCUAUGUAUUCUUUUGAGGUGUGAUUGUUGCAAUGAAUUCAACAGAACAAAGUAUGCCUUUCGGCCCCAUGGAUACAAAAGAAAAUCAUCAAGCUACUCAAUCACACCUAGUAUUCUGUAAUCAAUGUGUUUUUCAGUUGGUUUGAGAACACACUCUAUCAACAUAACCAAUCCAAGUUUCAAUUUUAUCUUCUAGGUCUUCACAUGAAUGGCAUCAUGAAGCAUUCUCAUAGAAAUCAUUUUCACACCAUUGAAACACUGGUUUCUAAGCCGAGGAUUACUACUGUCAAGAUUAACAGAUGUUUCGUGGCAAGGUAAUCCAGUGAUUAAGGAAAAUUCUUGCAUUCCAAAACAGGCAAGAUGGUCAUCAAAUCUUACCCACACUUCAUUGUUUUUGCCAGAAUUCACAAUCCUCAUUAUGAAUUUAUGUAUCAACUUGCUACUAAAUUGUUGCUCUUCAUCUUUGUACAUGAAUCCAUAUAUAAAUCCAUGAAAAUUACUGCACAUUACUGAUGCUUAUUCAUUUGCUUGUAACAAUUGUAUCAAAUCUCUAACGUACUGAUGAUUUGGAUAUUGACUAAUAGUAGCACAAAACCAUAGGUUUAGAGACAAAACAUAAUCUAG
rnacentral:lncRNA from 1 species